UAAAGAUUACUUAUUAAAUGAAAAUAUUGAAAAAAUGAUUUCACCACCACCAAAUAGGUGGCGAUGUGUACUAAGUAGGCUAUGUAAACCGCCAAUUAAACAAAAGAAGAAGAAGGAAGUAGAAUGGCGCGCUUUUUCUUAGCGUCUGUUUCCAUGUUGAAUCAUUCGUCGCUCUGUUGAGAUUGUCUUUUGUGUUAACCGGGAACAUACUCUGAGUUGGCUGAACUUACUCCUGGGUUUUUGGAACCAACAUACCCCGAGUAAGCAAGGUUUGGGUUAAUCAACCGAGAGUUCAGGGUAGAUAUGUGACAGUAAGUUAACCUUGCUUUCUGGAAUACACCCCAGAUAGACCGUGUUCUGGUCAGUCAUCUUUUCAGCAGCAAGAAAUUUGUUUUUAAAUCUGUAUCGGCUUAAUUUAUGUUUAAUUCUUACUUUGCAACGAAGUCUUAUGAAAUAUGAACUAUAAAAGUUGUGAUUCCAUUGCUUUGUUUUAAAAUAAAUAAUAAUCUGGCGAAACCAGAAAAGACCGCGUUCCCGACCGGAUUCAUUUCAGAGUUGCAACAGAAUCAGAAUCGCGGGGUUGACGUCUCGUCUUUCCAGCCAGCUUCCAGGUUCUACGUCCGAACGCCGGCUCAGUAUUGGCCGACUCCUGUUCACGUGAGCAGCAUGACGUAUGCAUGUGAUGCUGAACUGCGUUCGGAACACAAAUUAAAAUAUUUUUGUUUAAAUCCGAUGGCUCUGUGAGGCCUGCAUAGGGAGCAAUGACAUUUCCUCUCUCAAGAUCCAUAAAGGUACUAAAAACAUAUUUAAAUCAGUUCAUGUGAGUUCAGUGGUUCAAUAUUAAUAUUAUAAAGCGAUGAGAAUAUUUUUGGUGCGCCAAAAAAAAAAAAAAAAAUAACGACUUAUUUAGUGAUGGCCGAUUUCAAAACACUGUUUCAGGAAGCUUCAGAGCGUUAUGAAUCAGCGUGUCGAAUCCGCAGUUCGGAGCGCCAAAGUCACGUGAUUUCAGCAGUUUGGCGGUUUGACACAUGAUCCGAAUCAUGAUUCGACACGCUGAUUCAUUAUGCUCCGAAUCUUCCUGAAGCAGUGUUUUGAAAUCGGCCAUCACUAAAUAAUUCGUUUUUUUUUUUUUUUUUUUUUGGCGCACCAAAAAUAUUCUCGUCGCUUUAUAAUAUUAAUAUUGAACCACUGUACUCACAUGAACUGAUUUAAAUAUGUUUUUAGUACCUUUAUGGAUCUUGAGAGAGGAAAUGUCAUUGCUCCCCAUCGGAUUUCAACAAAAAUAUCUUAAUUUGUGUUCUGAAGAUCAACGAAGGUCUUACGGGUGUGGAACGGCACGAGGGAGAAACUAUUUUAAAGAUGGAGUUUGAGGAAGAACCCUGCAGAAUGAGAGAUGAAGAUACAGAGCAGCAAACAGACUUAAUGAAAGUGAAUGAAGACAAACGGCAUCAGACUCAAAAUGAAAAUGAAAAUGCUGCCAUUUCCUAGACUGACACACAAAAACAAGCUCCAACAACUGGUUUCAAAUGGCCUUUUGCUUGCUCAGAAUGUGGAACGACUUCAUGCGUAAAAACAACUUAAAGAAUCACAUGAAAAUUCACACUGAAGAAAAUAUGUUCUCGUGCAAUCAGUGUGGAAAGACUUUCACUCUGAUAGGACACUUAAAUGUGCACAUGAGAACUCACCCUGAGGAAGGAACUGUUACCUGCUCUAAGUGCGGAAAGAGAUUCAUGAAUAAAGCAAACUUCAAUAUGCACAUGAAAUCUCACGCUGAAGAAAAUAUGUUCAAGUGCACGCAGUGUGAAAAGAGCUUCAGAUCCAAAAGUCAUUUCAAAAUGCAUCUGCUCACUCACAACAAGGUGAAGUCGUUCAGAUGUGAUGUGUGUGAUAAAACAUUUAAUGUGGAGUUAUACUUAAAGAGACAUUUAUAUAUUCAUUCUGGUGUGAAGCCUCACAUUUGUUCCUUUUGUGGAAAGAGGUUUUCAGAUCGACAUGCUUUAACAGUGCAUGAGCGUUUUCAUUCCGGUGUGAAACCUCAUUUGUGCUUUGACUGUGGGAAGACCUUCACUACAUUGAGAGACUUAAAAAUACAUGAGAGAAUUCAUAAUGGAGAGAAACCGUACAAGUGCUCAAACUGUGAAAAGAGUUUCGCUCAGAUAACAGCCUUAAAAUCUCAUCAGAGAGGUCAUACUGGAAAGAAGCCGCACCAGUGCUCUUCAUGUGGGAUGAGUUUCAGCCAAACAUCUAAACUAGAUGUUCAUAAGAGAAAGCAUUGCUCAAAGUUAUCUAAGUGAUGCAUGCAAAAUUUGUAAUUGGAAGGGGGUGAAAAUGCCCCUAAUUUAGUGAGAAUGCUUCUGUUAAAAUGACAAAUAUGCUUUUACACAUUUUAUUCACUCAUGGUUACCAGGUUUUAGCUUUAAUUACUUAAGUUCUAUCAUAAAACAAAAUGCUUGAUGACUUAUGUUAUAAGUGCACUGUCAGAUCAUAUCACAAAUCUUAACAUAAAAAGCAAUGCCAUUUUAUUAUAUUGCCAAGGUGUACCUAGAGGGUUGGGUGAAGAUUGUUGUUCAACAGUGGAGAUUGUGGGAAGGACAAAAUGCCCCAAUUUUAGAGGAUAGUAAAACUAAGUGUCUCCAUCAUCUCUGUCUGGUUGUUGAGAGGUGAUGUGCUAUUAUUAGGCCUAAUAUUAAUGUCAUCCGUUGUAUCUAUAGCCAUUGUGUUACAUCAAGAAAAAAAAGCAUCUUGUGUAUUUUGACUGACACAUUUACAACAGUUGAAAUUAAAUGGUUUGAACAUUGUAUCCAUAGUUAUUAAUUAAGCCUCCAGUAUUAAUUCAUUCUUUUGAAAUAAAACGUGGGAUAUAUAUAUAUAAAUUCCCUUCAUUGUUGAUUAAAAAGUGCAUUUUACUCUCCUUAUAAUGAGUCUAUAUUUGAGAAUAUUAUUUCGGAAUGGGAAUCGGAUAUUGAGACAUGUUUUAGUUUUAAGUAAUUGAAAUGUUGACUGGUCCUUAACUAGUUGUUUUUUCAAUGAACAUGUCAUUAGAUAAUUAUUUUUUUGUUUCCCUGACAAUAUUUGGGUAGAUUUUAGCCUAAUCGGGGGUUUAACACUGUAGGAAACAUGUUUACAACAGUGUUUUCAAUAUGAACUUUCUGAACUGUGGUAUGGUUUACAUUCAUGAACUGUUUGGAGAAACGUGAAAUAAAAAUGAUGUCCUAUUUAUUGUCUCCAUUGAGCAGAUUUGUAUGUAGUCUCAAUCCUCAGAAUAACGUGUUUCUAUAUGAAUUUGACAACAGUUUGACUUGGCGCCAGUUGUUUUCAUUUCAACCACAUGAUCUUUUUGAGCCCAUCAUGGUUCUCAAAUCAUGGAACUGUUUCUUAAUGACUCUUUGAGCAAAACACUUAUAGCUGGGUAAUUAAGAUGACUGUAAGGUGUGAUGAUGAUCUGCUAAAUGAGUCAGUGAAGCUGCUUCCACAGCCGUGAGAGAGUUUGGGGAAUAUUACCAUCUUCUCACAGGACUCCAAUUGCAACCCAGUGUAAAGAUGGAGU